GAGGGUGUAGCUCAGUGGUGGAGUGCUUGCCUACCAUGCAUGAAGCCCUGGGUUCCAUCCCCAACACCACUCA
rnacentral:tRNA from 1 species